UAUGGCCGUAUCACAUUGAAACAAUGGUUCCUGUACAAUCACUGAAGUUAAGCAAUGUUGAGCCUGGUCAGUACCUAGAUGGGUGAUCGCUUGGGUAUAUUGGGUGGUGC